AAGGGGAAGAGGCAGAUUCUGAAAGCAUCCACUUAUCCUACAGAGGAAGUUGGGAUGGGCCGGAGUGACACAUGGAAACAAAUGCCAUUUGCCAAGCUAGUCAACUGCACGUACCAUGGAGAGGUUUUCCCUUUGCCAGCCAGAAUAUUAUAUUUCACCAGCACCAACUGCCUUUUCUUUAAAGCAAAGCUGGUUGAUCACCCAUAAAAAAACAGAAUCACAGCUCUAUCAGAAAGCUCUUUAUUUGAAGAUUGGCUCUCCCACAGCAGUACGUUUUAACCGGCAAGGACAUCAGCACUCCACGCACAAGGCAGGACUCCAUUCUUCCAGUCCAGUUUCUUCUUCCAGCGUGUCGGAUGCUCUUACACAGCCUUGUAGAAGGUAAAUGGGAAGAUGGGCUGGGCUCCACACUUGCUUUGCUAAUUCUUGAUCAUCAUCUCUGGUUUUUCUUGUGUUUGUAUGAAAGACUUAUACAUCGGGGACCUAUAAAACUGGUUGUCACUGCCCUGUU